ACAAAGCCGACUACUCAACCGAACCGAUCCGAAGAGUCCCGUGAUGGGCCAGGAGGCUACCGGCUACAAGACGCCGCCGGAGAGGGACCGCCUCGACGCCGCCCGCACCCGCGCUCCCCGCCGCCGCCAGAUCCGCAAGACCUUCAACAACCUCAAGAUCACCGUCCUCUGCGGCGUCGUCACCAUCCUCGUCCUCCGUGGCACUAUCGGCAUCGGCAGCCUUGCCGGCCCUGGCGGCGAGGCCGACGACCAGAAGGUCGUCGAGGACAUCGACCGCAUCCUCCGCGAGAUCCGAUCCGACUCUGACCCUGACGACGACGACAAGAUCCCUUUCGGCUUCAACUCCACCGCCGCCGCCCUCAACUACACCUCAGCCUCCGUUCUCGCCGCUGCCGCGAACUACACCCUCGGCCCCAGAAUCUCCGACUGGGACGAGCAGCGGCGGCGGUGGUUGGGCGAGAACCCGGGGUUCCCGAGCCGGACCUUCGGCUUGAAGCCGCGGAUUCUCCUCGUCACGGGAUCCCCUCCCAACCCCUGCGACAACCCAAUUGGCGACCACUACCUUCUGAAGGGCACCAAGAACAAGAUCGAUUACUGCCGCCUUCAUGGGAUUGAGAUCGUCUACAACAUGGCGCACCUCGACCGGGAACUCGCCGGGUACUGGGCGAAGCUUCCGCUGAUCCGGCGGCUAAUGCUGUCGCACCCGGAGGUGGAGUGGAUCUGGUGGAUGGACAGCGAUGCGCUCUUCACGGACAUGGCCUUCGAGAUCCCUCUCGACCGUUACGCCGCGCACAACCUCGUCGUCCAUGGCUACCCGGAUCUCAUUUUCGAGAAGCAUUCCUGGAUCGGCCUCAACACCGGCAGCUUCCUGCUGCGGAAUUGCCAGUGGAGCCUUGAUUUGCUUGAUGCGUGGGCGCCGAUGGGGCCCAAAGGCCCCAUUCGCGACGAGGCUGGCAAGAUACUGACGGCGAACCUGCAGGGCCGGCCGGCGUUCGAGGCGGAUGAUCAGUCGGCGCUCAUAUAUUUGGUCUUGUCUCAGCAAGAUCGGUGGGGCGACAAGAUCUACAUUGAGAACUCGUAUUAUCUGCAUGGAUACUGGGCUGGGUUAGUGGACAGGUAUGAGGAGAUGAUGGAUAAGCAUCAUCCUGGUUUGGGGGAUGAGAGGUGGCCUUUCGUCACCCACUUUGUGGGUUGCAAACCAUGUGGUAGCUAUGGGGAUUAUCCUGUGGAGCGCUGCUUAAGCAGCAUGGAGAGAGCUUUCAAUUUUGCCGAUAACCAGGUCCUCAGGAUGUAUGGAUUUGCUCAUGGAAAACUGUCUAGUCCUAAGAUUAAGAGGACCAGGAAGCAAACAGCAAAGCCACUGGAGUUCUUGGAUCAUCUUAAACUUGAAGCCAGGAUAGAAACCAGAGGAUGAGCGAGGCCAUUAUCUACACAAGCAUCGUUCUCAGAAAUCUCAGGAACUCAUAACAAUGAAUUCUAUGUUCAUUGUUGAUGCUUCAUCUGAAACUCUUCCAUUUGUUAUUUGAUGACACGCAUCUUUGGCCUUUGUUAGUGAUAUUCUAGACUGAAGUAGAUCAAAAGCCAAUUACAGAACUUUUGGAGAAAGAGAUCCUCCAUGCUGCUGAAUACCUGCUUUUGGUGGAAGGUGGAGUAUCAGCCUCUAACUGGAAUUUGUUCUAGUUCGAAAAGGAUCUCCUAUUGCAUCAAAUGACUCUUGCUUCAACUAUCAAUUCGCUAUAUGCUUGGUUCUCCAUCUUGCAGUCCCAACAUCCAUCUCAUCUGCUUAGCAGAAUACUGCAACUUGCUUGGGAAACAAAUGAUAGAUUUAUAAAUAUAUCAUUUUCAUGUUUAGAGCACAGUUUUGUUGUAAAUUAACUAAAUAAAACGUUAGCAAUUUUGAAUGGAGCUCAACAAACACUGACCAUUUGCCCACCGGCAUGCUGUUAACCAGGACUAGAAGUGGCUCAACUCAUACAGAUCAGGUGUAGCGGAGGCAAUCAAGUUCAAACUGUUCUCGUACACUUAUGCCUGUCAUGCUGCUGUUUCAGGAGCUUCUUUGCCCACACAUCUUAAG